rnacentral:rRNA from 1 species
CCAUGCAAGUCGAACGAUGAUCUCCAGCUUGCUGGGGGGAUUAGUGGCGAACGGGUGAGUAACACGUGAGUAACCUGCCCUUAACUCUGGGAUAAGCCUGGGAAACUGGGUCUAAUACCGGAUAUGACUCCUCAUCGCAUGGUGGGGGGUGGAAAGCUUUUUGUGGUUUUGGAUGGACUCGCGGCCUAUCAGCUUGUUGGUGAGGUAAUGGCUCACCAAGGCGACGACGGGUAGCCGGCCUGAGAGGGUGACCGGCCACACUGGGACUGAGACACGGCCCAGACUCCUACGGGAGGCAGCAGUGGGGAAUAUUGCACAAUGGGCGCAAGCCUGAUGCAGCGACGCCGCGUGAGGGAUGACGGCCUUCGGGUUGUAAACCUCUUUCAGUAGGGAAGAAGCGAAAGUGACGGUACCUGCAGAAGAAGCGCCGGCUAACUACGUGCCAGCAGCCGCGGUAAUACGUAGGGCGCAAGCGUUAUCCGGAAUUAUUGGGCGUAAAGAGCUCGUAGGCGGUUUGUCGCGUCUGCCGUGAAAGUCCGGGGCUCAACUCCGGAUCUGCGGUGGGUACGGGCAGACUAGAGUGAUGUAGGGGAGACUGGAAUUCCUGGUGUAGCGGUGAAAUGCGCAGAUAUCAGGAGGAACACCGAUGGCGAAGGCAGGUCUCUGGGCAUUAACUGACGCUGAGGAGCGAAAGCAUGGGGAGCGAACAGGAUUAGAUACCCUGGUAGUCCAUGCCGUAAACGUUGGGCACUAGGUGUGGGGGACAUUCCACGUUUUCCGCGCCGUAGCUAACGCAUUAAGUGCCCCGCCUGGGGAGUACGGCCGGCAACGCUAAAACUCAA